AUUGUAUUUUGAUAUCUUUUAAGCAUUACAAACAGCAUUAGUAAUAGAAAGAGAUUAAAGUUAUUUGAAUACCUGGCUUUAUCAUGAUCUGGAAGUGCUUUGUGUUUCGUUUUCCUGCUUUAUUAACAUUUAUGGAAUUUUUGCACUAAAAUAUCAGCCCCAUAGUUUCAUGAAUCAUUGCAAAAACAUCAGGGAGUAUCAUUUAUAAUGUACAGCAAUCCAUUUUGAUACAUGAAAGUAGACCUGGUUGCAGUAUGCCAUUUUUGGAUUCGAUUUUCAUAUAAUUUGAGUCUACUCAGUUCUGAAAGACUUUCCAUACUUUAAAGGAAAAAAGAGAAGGCAAAUCUACUUCUAGAAAGAACUUAUUACUACAUCUGUGACAUCUCUGAGAAUUGUAUCCAAAAACAUACAAGUGAAUUAACUGCAUCCAUUCAGUGACAACUGCACCAUUACAAAGAAAGGAUAGGCAUAAAACUCAAUGACCAAAAAGCUAUGAAGCAGUUCCCUCCUUCUCUCACUGAUCGGUAACCCAAACACCCAGGAAAAAACAAUUGCAGAAUAUAGGAUAUGUGACAGGGGUGAAAUUGCAACAGCAUCAUAAGCCCAAAUGUCUCGAUAAAACUAAA